rnacentral:lncRNA from 1 species
AAAAACUUUCACUUUAUUUCUAAUCACAUUCAAUCAAAAUUGUAAAUAUCAAACAAGCAGUACAAAAUAAUUCUAUGAAAAUUUUGACCAUAUUUUCCGCUACAGCCAAUUAGAUUCAGUUCUGAGGAAAUUAUCAAGAUUAUACAAGAAUAAAGAGCUUUGGUCAUCAACAAAUAUUUCAUGAUUGCCAGACUUAUACUAGGCUCAGUAGGUAUCUUCUCUAUCCACUAAAGAGCUUAUAGUCUUUUCUCUAACAUUUGGUUAGCAGUUACUAUUAAAAGUAAUUCCAGAUAAAAUACUAAGUUUUAGUGUUUUUCCCUAAGAUAAUAAAAAAAUUAUUUGUUAUAAAUCGUGGUCAGUUAACAGCUAAUAUACUUGGGCAUAGCUUUUCUCCCUAUAGCAUUAAUCAGUAGUUACUAACAUAGCAAGUAUUACUGGAACACUCUCUAAAAACUAUUAUUCCCCUGUAGGGUCCAAUGAGGAAAAUCCAGAAAUGUUGCACUCGGCCAUUCAAUAAAGUUCUAUUAAUAGUUGAGCUUUGGCUAACUUUGUAUUGUAACACUAAAAGGAAAAAGAAGAAUCCCUCAUAUAUACAUCAGCAUGAUUUUUUAUGGAUUCAGUUACAUGUCACGUUUAGAUUUCAUCUUUUAAAGUUUAUAUUUUCUGGUUUCUGCCAUGAACAUGUGUUCAUUUCGUAAAGAAAAAAGUGAUUAUUUUAAUAAUAAAUCCUUCCUUGCAAUUAUCACCUAAUUAGUCAUUGUGUCACAUUCAAGUACAUAGACAAUACCAGUAUUAUUUUUACUAAAAACACUUUUUUUUAAAAGAUUUUAUUUAUCCAUGAGAGACACAGAGAGAGAGGCAGAGACACAGGGAGAGGGAGGAGAAGCAGGCUCCCUGCAGGGAGCCUGAUAUGGGACUCGAUCCUGGGACUCUGGGAUCACUCCCUGAAGGCAGAUGCUCAACCACUGAGCCACCCAGGCAUUCCUAAAAACAUUUUUUUUUAACAAAACUCUAAUAUCCACAAAAUAUGAAGCAAUCUGUACUGAUCUACUAAAUAACUACUAUCUGUGGUUGAAAUUAACUGUUAGUCUCUCCCCUCCUGAACUGCUGGGAGUGUGGUGAUAUUCAGAAAAGUCACCUUGUGACUUGUGACAGUAUGGUCCUUCGUGACUUCCUACUGGGUACUAGGGCUGACGCCCCUCCCAACCCAAAGCCCCUCUCUCAACAGUACAGCUGCUAUAGAAAGCCUCUGUUCUUGUCCUUGAAUAUAUUUUUUUAAAUGUUUGGAAUCAGGGUUGCAUAAAUCAAUUCAACAUAAUAGGCAUUACUUUUUUCAUAAAUUUAUAUCAUGAUAUAUAAAUAGCAUGAAUGCUAUUUUGCUAUAGUUACUUUUAUUUAUUUAUUUUUUAAAGAUUUUAUUUAUUUAUUCACGAGAGACACAGAGAGAGAGAGAGGCAGAGACACAGGUAGAGGGAGGGAGAAGCAGGCUCCAUGCAGGGAGCCUGAUGUGGGACUCCUUCCCGGGUCUCCAGGAUCACACCCUGGGCUGAAGGCAGUGCUAAACCGCUGAGCCACCCGGGCUGCCCAUACUUUUAUUAGGAAACAUUUGAGAACUGUCUAUGUUCUACAAGAAAAAAAUGAGGCAGAUUUCAAACCAAAGUUAGUAUCCAUAUGUUUGUCAAUUAUAAAUUGUCAAUUUUAAAAAAUUGGUAUCCCUAACUGGUUUCUCAGAACUCCUUUUCUGCAAACUGGUGAGGCUUGCUGUCCCUAGUAGUGGGUAGGAGUAGUAUGUUUAUUCAUGUCUAUAUAGCAUACUAUUAAACUGAAUGGGCGCCCUUCUUCCACCUUCAAAUGUUAUUAAAGCCUGACUUUAAUGUCUGGAGACUUCUUUCAUUAGCCACAGAAAUAAUGAUAUAGGGUGAGCUUGCAAUAUCUCAUAUACUGCCCAGUAAAUCUGCUGAGUGGUAUUACUGAAAUAAAGCUAAUGGCCUCCAAUUUGAUUCUACACGGAUUAGUAAUGCCAGGGAGGAGUUCCCUAGUUUUUGUUGAUAGUAACAACUGAAAAGAGAAACUCCAUCCCUGUGAGUUGCUCUCUAGGAUUACACUAUUGUGUUUCUGUAAUUAAAACCUUGCAAGUAUAACCCAAUGCUCAUUAACUUUAUAAACUCUGAGGAAGAAAGGAGCUGACAAAGUUUUAGUUUUAGAUUAAAUGUUAUCUUGUGAGCAAAUGCUUUCAACUUUUCAGAUUGCAGCCGUGCCCUGCUAUUUAGUGUGGGGAGAGAAAAAGAAAAGCAUAUCAUUCCUCCCUUUACCUUACAAAUGUGGGUUAGCUAAUGAAUGGCUUUAUGAUGUUCACAUUUCGGGCAUUUGUGAAACAAUUCACAAGUGGUCACCAAAUCAUCAUUAUAAAAAUGAGAUGUUUGUAACUUAGGUGCUCUAACAAGCUUUUGUAGUUUCCUAAAGAGCACAGAUGUAAAUCCUAUCAAGGUUAUUCAACCAUAAGUAUAUAAUACUCUUGGAUUAGUUAAACAUGGAAAAAACAUUUUCCUUUUAAAGCCAUUUUUAUUUUUAAUUCAAGGCCAAAUGUAGAACAAAGCAUUUGUUAAAAGGGACAUGGGUGUUUUGACUGUUCCAAGUUGUUAGGAGCUUUUAGUCCAAAGUCGAAAUGGAAAAGGCACUAAAGUCACAGGUUGACCGCAUAUUCUUACCCUGUGGGUUCCCCAGGGGACUGGGUACACAGCACUUCUGGCCAAGAAUUCUGACAUCAGACUGGGAAUUUCCUAGCUUUGCAACUGGCACCCUCUGUUGGUAAACAUUCCAUACCGGGAUUGCUAGCAGGCAAACCAUUUGUUCUCCAUUUCCCCUUCCACUUAUUUGUAGAAAAUGCUGAAAUUAUCUUAGUAGACCACAAAAGGGGCUACAAUCCUAUAUAGCACCCCAGGAUGAGAGAAUCCAGUCCUGAUGAUAGUUUCUCUAUGAAUUCCUUACAAACGGCUCAAUCCUUUUGUCCAACUUCUAUGGGGUUUUUUGUAUAUUUUUACUAUUGGAGUUUGAUUUGCCAACAUAUAGUAUAACAUCCAGUGCUCAUCCCGUCAAGUUGCCACCUCAGUGCCCGUCACCCAGUCACUUCUAUGUUUUGAAUCUGGAGCAAAACUGAUAAUCUCUUCUCAGAGUCUGAGCACUUUGAAGCAGAAACCACUUGGCUACGCUGUCCAUCAGUCUUAGGCAAAAGAGAAAAAGUCGAACAUAGGGAAGGAUAGAUUGUGGUUUUUAUAUGCACUUUUUACAACACAGGGCUAUGUAAAUUCUCAUUUGUGUUUUAAAAUGUGGAUAUGUAAAUAUACACUUACGUUGUAGCAUAUGCAUAUAGCAUAGCAUAUAUACUACCUUCUUGUGGAAACAUAUGCAAGAAACCUAAUUAUCCUUUCAUAGAAAGUCUAAAAGAUAUGGGAGGGAGAACUUUACUGCCCGUUUUAUACCUUUCUGUAUUAUUUGAGUUUUACUACAGGCGCUUAUUACUUUAAUUUUAUUUUAAAAAAUAAAUCCUUAUUUAGAUGAAAUAUUUCAAUUCUAGGAUACUCAAAUAUUAUGGAACUUUUAAUUUAUAGGUUUUA